AAGGAGUCUAACAUCUGUGCGAGUUUUAGGGUGGGAAACCCUGUGGGCUAAUUAAAGUCAAAGGCGGGUAUAAUUUCAUUAGCAACUGACCCAUUGCCAGUAAAAUGUUUGAGUUAGAACAUAUGUGUUAGGACCCGAAAGAUGGUGAACUAUGCCUGAAUAGGGUGAAGCCAGAGGAAACUCUGAUGGAGGCUCGUAGCGGUUCUGACGUGCAAAUCGAUCGUCAAAUUUGGGUAUAGGGGCGAAAGACUAAUCGAACCAUCUAGUAGCUGGUUCCCGC
rnacentral:misc_RNA from 1 species